UACAGGGGGUGCAAACGUUGCUCGGAAUUAUUGGGCGUAAAGCGCGCGUAGGCGGCUACCUAAGUCGGAUGUGAAAGCCCCUGGCUUAACUGGGGAAGUGCACCCGAAACUGGGUAGCUAGAGUGCAAAAGAGGGUCGCGGAAUUCCCGGUGUAGAGGUGAAAUUCGUAGAUAUCGGGAGGAACACCGGUGGCGAAGGCGGCGACCUGGGUUGACACUGACGCUGAGGCGCGAAAGUGUGGGGAGCGAACAGG
rnacentral:rRNA from 1 species